GUUUACUGUGGAGGUAAUAGAGGAGGUGGAGCAUGAGCAUUCUUGCUAGGACCUGAAAGAUGGUGAACUAUGCCUGGGCAGAGAGGUAUCGGGGAAAUUUCAUCCCCUCUCCCCAGUUUUCAUUGUUUACUGUGGAGGUAAUAGAGGAGGUGGAGCAUGAGCAUUCUUGCUAGGACCUGAAAGAUGGUGAACUAUGCCUGGGCAGGGCGAAGCCAGAGGAAACUCUGGUGGAGGUCUGUAGCGGUCCUGAUGUGCAAAUCAGUCAUCCGACCCGGGUCUAGGGGCGAAAGACUAAUCGAACCACCCAGUAGCUGGUUCCCUCCAAAGUUUCCCUCAGGAUAGCUGGCACUUAGCCGUGGGGCAAUUUUACCCGGUAAAGAGAAUAAUUAGAGGUCUUGGGGCCAAAACAGUCUCAACCAAUUCUCAAACUUUCAAUGGGUAAGGGGGCCGGCUCGCUGGCGUUUAGAGCCGUGCCAUGGAAUGCAAGUGCUCAGUGGGCCACUUUUGGUAAGCAGAACUGAUGCUGCGGGAUGAACCGGAUGAGCAUGAGCUCCUGAUGCUACACAGGAGUCUGUUGUUAAUCUUCACAGAUGCAAGCCAAAU
rnacentral:ncRNA from 1 species